rnacentral:rRNA from 1 species
UGCCAGCCGCCGCGGUAAUACGGAGGGGGUUAGCGUUGUUCGGAAUUACUGGGCGUAAAGCGCACGUAGGCGGAUUAGUAAGUUAGGGGUGAAAUCCCGGGGCUCAACCCCGGAACUGCCUCUAAUACUGCUAGUCUUGAGUUCGAGAGAGGUGAACGGAACUCACGGUGUAGGGGUGAAAUCCGUUGAUAUCGUGGGGAACACCAAAUGCGAAGGCAGUUCACUGGCACUUUCUUGACGCUGAGGCACGAAAGCGUGGGUAGCGAACGGGAUUAGAUA